GCAUAUCAAUAAGCGGAGGAAAAGAAACCAACAGGGAUUGCCCUAGUAACGGCGAAGUGAAGCGGCAACAGCUCAAAUUUGAAAUCUGGCUCUCGGGCCCGAGUUGUAAUUUGUAGAGGAUACUUUUGAUGCGGUGCCUUCCGAGUUCCCUGGAACGGGACGCCAUAGAGGGUGAGAGCCCCGUCUGGUUGGAUGCCAAAUCUCUGUAAAGUUCCUUCGACGAGUCGAGUAGUUUGGGAAUGCUGCUCUAAAUGGGAGGUAUAUGUCUUCUAAAGCUAAAUACCGGCCAGAGACCGAUAGCGCACAAGUAGAGUGAUCGAAAGAUGAAAAGCACUUUGAAAAGAGAGUUAAAAAGUACGUGAAAUUGUUGAAAGGGAAGCGUUUAUGACCAGACUUGGGCUUGGUUAAUCAUCUGGGGUUCUCCCCAGUGCACUUUUCCAGUCCAGGCCAGCAUCAGUUUUCGCCGGGGGAUAAAGACUUCGGGAAUGUGGCUCUCUCCGGGGAGUGUUAUAGCCCGUUGUGUAAUACCCUGGCGGGGACUGAGGUUCGCGCAUCUGCAAGGAUGCUGGCGUAAUGGUCAUCAACGACCCGUCUUGAAACACGGACCAAGGAGUCGUCUUCGUAUGCGAGUGUUCGGGUGUCAAACCCCUACGCGUAAUGAAAGUGAACGCAGGUGAGAGCUUCGGCGCAUCAUCGACCGAUCCUGAUGUUCUCGGAUGGAUUUGAGUAAGAGCAUACGGGGCCGGACCCGAAAGAAGGUGAACUAUGCCUGUAUAGGGUGAAGCCAGAGGAAACUCUGGUGGAGGCUCGCAGCGGUUCUGACGUGCAAAUCGAUCGUCAAAUAUGGGCAUGGGGGGCGAAAGACUAAUCGAACCUUCUAGUAGCUGGUUUCCGCG
rnacentral:rRNA from 1 species